UACGAAGGGGGCUAGCGUUGCUCGGAAUUACUGGGCGUAAAGGGCGCGUAGGCGGCGCGAUAAGUUGGGCGUGAAAGGCCCGGGCUCAACCCGGGGACUGCGCUUGAUACUGUCGCGCUGUGAGUCCGGGAGAGGAUGGCGGAAUUCCCAGUGUAGAGGUGAAAUUCGUAGAUAUUGGGAAGAACACCGGUGGCGAAGGCGGCCAUCUGGACCGGCACUGACGCUGAGGCGCGAAAGCGUGGGGAGCAAACAGG
rnacentral:rRNA from 1 species